rnacentral:rRNA from 1 species
UACGUAGGGGGCGAGCGUUUGUCCGGAAUCAUUGGGCGUAAAGAGCGUGUAGGCGGCUUGGCAAGUCUGACGUGAAAGCCCGCGGCUCAACCGCGGAUUGUCGUUGGAAACUGCCUCGCUGAGAGUCCGGAAGAGGAGAGCGGAAUUCCUGGUGUAGCGGUGGAAUGCGCAGAUAUCAGGAAGAACACCCGUGGCGAAGGCG